CUUAGAAUCAAAAUCUUAUUUUUUAAAAUAAUGUGCAACCAUGUUUUGAUCGGUUCACAUCUUUCAAAUAAAAUUACAGUUUUAAAUAAAACACGAAUCAAAGCUUGUGGUCCCAAAUAAAUGGGAUAAUUCUAAGCUAAAUUCGUGUAUAUCGAUUGGGGAAUUGGUGAAACCCCUACAUAAGAAAAUCUUUUCAAAAUUUAUUUUUG
rnacentral:lncRNA from 1 species